GGAUUAGUGGCGAACGGGUGAGUAACACGUGGGCAAUCUGCCCUUCACUCUGGGACAAGCCUUGGAAACGAGGUCUAAUACCGGAUAACACUCCCAUUCUCCUGGAUGGGGGUUAAAAGCUCCGGCGGUGAAGGAUGAGCCCGCGGCCUAUCAGCUUGUUGGUGAGGUAAUGGCUCACCAAGGCGACGACGGGUAGCCGGCCUGAGAGGGCGACCGGCCACACUGGGACUGAGACACGGCCCAGACUCCUACGGGAGGCAGCAGUGGGGAAUAUUGCACAAUGGGCGAAAGCCUGAUGCAGCGACGCCGCGUGAGGGAUGACGGCCUUCGGGUUGUAAACCUCUUUCAGCAGGGAAGAAGCGAAAGUGACGGUACCUGCAGAAGAAGCGCCGGCUAACUACGUGCCAGCAGCCGCGGUAAUACGUAGGGCGCAAGCGUUGUCCGGAAUUAUUGGGCGUAAAGAGCUCGUAGGCGGCUUGUCACGUCGAUUGUGAAAGCUCGGGGCUUAACCCCGAGUCUGCAGUCGAUACGGGCUAGCUAGAGUGUGGUAGGGGAGAUCGGAAUUCCUGGUGUAGCGGUGAAAUGCGCAGAUAUCAGGAGGAACACCGGUGGCGAAGGCGGAUCUCUGGGCCAUUACUGACGCUGAGGAGCGAAAGCGUGGGGAGCGAACAGGAUUAGAUACCCUGGUAGUCCACGCCGUAAACGGUGGGCACUAGGUGUGGGCAACAUUCCACGUUGUCCGCGCCGCAGCUAACGC
rnacentral:rRNA from 1 species